rnacentral:rRNA from 1 species
AAUGGGGGAAACCCUGAUGCAGCGAUGCCGCGUGAGUGAAGAAGGCCUUUGGGUUGUAAAACUCUUUCGUCGGGGAAGAAAAUGACUGUACCCGAAUAAGAAGGUCCGGCUAACUUCGUGCCAGCAGCCGCGGUAAUACGAAGGGACCUAGCGUAGUUCGGAAUUACUGGGCUUAAAGAGCUCGUAGGUGGUUAAAAAAGUUGAUGGUGAAAUCCCAAGGCUUAACCUUGGAACUGCCAUCAAAACUUUUUAGCUAGAGUGUGAUAGAGGUAAGUGGAAUUUCUAGUGUAGAGGUGAAAUUCGUAGAUAUUAGAAAGAACACCAAAUGCGAAGGCAACUUACUGGGUCAUUACUGACACUGAGGAGCGAAUGCAUGGGUAGCGAAGAGGAUU